rnacentral:rRNA from 1 species
GGAUUAGAUACCCUGGUAGUCCACGCCCUAAACGAUGUGCACUAGGCCCCGGGACUUUCAACGGUUUCGGGGUCGAAGAGAAAUCGAUAAGUGCACCGCCUGGGGAGUACGGUCGCAAGGCUAAAACUCAAAGGAAUUGACGGGGGCUCACACAAGCGGUGGAGCAUGUUGCUUAAUUCGAAGCAACGCGAAGAACCUUACCAGGGUUUGACAUGCACGGAUUAACUCUAUGAAAGUAGAGCCACGCCCUCGGGUGGAACGUGCACAGGUGCUGCAUGGCUGUCGUCAGCUCGUGUUG